rnacentral:lncRNA from 14 species
CAAAGCUGAUGCUCACCAGACCUUCUGAUCAGUGUGAAUGAAACUUUCUUUCUGCUUCUCAGGUCUCCACGGAGGCACAUCAGACACCUGGCAAGCCACUUUCCAGCGACGGUUGACACCUGACCAGGAGAA